GAGAGCCGUGUGCGGGGAAACUUGCAAGCACGGUUCGUAUGGGGGAGUCGGGAAAAGUGUUGUCGAAAGGCAAUAACUCGUCCGUCUCCUACCUAGC
rnacentral:ncRNA from 1 species